rnacentral:rRNA from 1 species
UCGAGAAUAAUUCACAAUGGGGGCAACCCUGAUGGUGCAACGCCGCGUGGAGGAUGACGGUCUUCGGAUUGUAAACUCCUGUCAUCUGGGAGUAAGGCGUAGUUGUUAACAGCAAAUACGAUUGAUAGUACCAGAAGAGGAAGGGACGGCUAACUUCGUGCCAGCAGCCGCGGUAAUACGAAGGUCCCGAGCGUUGUUCGGAAUCACUGGGCGUAAAGGGAGCGUAGGCGGUGCGGUAAGUCAGAUGUGAAAUCCCGGGGCUCAACCCCGGAACUGCAUCCGAUACUGCCGUGCUAGAGGAUUGGAGAGGUAGCUGGAAUUCUUGGUGUAGCAGUGAAAUGCGUAGAUAUCAAGAGGAACACUCGUGGCGAAAGCGAGCUACUGGACAACUCCUGACGCUGAGGCUCGAAGGCCAGGGUAGCGAAAGGG